UACGGGAGGCAGCAGUGGGGAAUAUUGCACAAUGGGCGCAAGCCUGAUGCAGCCAUGCCGCGUGUAUGAAAAAGGCCUUCGGGUUGUAAAGUACUUUCAGUCGUGAGGAAGGUGUUAAGGUUAAUAACCUUAGCAAUUGACGUUAGCGACAGAAGAAGCACCGGCUAACUCCGUGCCAGCAGCCGCGGUAAUACGGAGGGUGCGAGCGUUAAUCGGAAUUACUGGGCGUAAAGGGCACGCAGGCGGUUAAUUAAGUUGGAUGUGAAAUCCCCGGGCUUAACCUGGGAAUGGCAUUCAAGACUGGUUAGCUAGAGUCUUGUAGAGGGGGUAGAAUUCCAUGUGUAGCGGUGAAAUGCGUAGAGAUGUGGAGGAAUACCGGUGGCGAAGGCGGCCCCUGGACAAAGACUGGACGCGUCAGUGUGCGAAAGCGUGGGGAGCAAACAGGGAUUAGAUAC
rnacentral:rRNA from 1 species